UCCCUGGUGGUCCACUGAUUACGACUCUGUGCUUCCACUGCAGAGGGCACAGGUUCAGAUCCUGGUUGGGGAA
rnacentral:tRNA from 1 species